AGGCUGAUAGCGGACAAGUACAGUGAUGGAAAUUUGAAAAGAACUUUGAAGAGAGAGUUAAGAGUACGUGAAACCAAUAGUCGGUAAACGAAGCCUAUCUCAAAGUGUUCGCUUCCGAAGUUCAGCCUGCCCUUUCAGGCGGCUGGUGCAUUCUUUGGAAGCGUGCGGUGGUAGGAACUGCUCUCGACAGUUAUCAGCUAGCUAGAUGGCUUGUUGCCGCUGCUGCGGGUUCAAGCUCUAGCGUCAGGCUGUGCCAUUGUCGAAGGCAGGGAGUGAUUCUCCGGAAUCCUUCUACCAAGUAGAUUGAUGAAGGCUUCGACCCGUCUUGAAACACGGAC
rnacentral:rRNA from 1 species